UCCUCAGUAGCUCAAUCGGUAGAGCAUCCGGCUGUUAACCGGAGGGUUGUAGGUUCGAGUCCUACCUGAGGAGCCA
rnacentral:tRNA from 1 species